GGCGUGCACGUGGUGCUCCAGGCACCUGGAGCCCCAAGCAGCGCCACGGGAUAGGGACUGGGCAGGAAAGUCUGGCGGUUCACGUGACUCUUCAAACAUCUCUGCAGAGAAAGCGGCACUAUUGGCGCCUGGACUGCAAGUGCAUCACGCUCUUCCAGAACAACACGACCAACAGAUACUAUAAGGAAAUUCCGCUGUCAGAAAUCCUCACGGUGGAGUCUGCCCAGAACUUCAGCCUUGUGCCGCCGGGCACCAACCCACACUGCUUUGAGAUUGUCACUGCCAACGCCACCUACUUCGUGGGCGAGAUGCCUGGCGGGGCUCCGGGUGGGCCAAGUGGGCAGGGGGCUGAGGCCGCCCGGGGCUGGGAGACAGCCAUCCGCCAGGCCCUGAUGCCCGUCAUCCUUCAGGACGCACCCAGCGCCCCAGGCCACGCGCCCCACAGACAAGCUUCUCUGAGCAUCUCUGUGUCCAACAGUCAGAUCCAAGAGAAUGUGGACAUUGCCACUGUCUACCAGAUCUUCCCUGAUGAAGUGCUGGGCUCAGGGCAGUUUGGAGUGGUCUAUGGAGGAAAGCACCGGAAGACAGGCCGGGACGUGGCAGUUAAGGUCAUUGACAAACUGCGCUUCCCUACCAAGCAGGAGAGUCAGCUCCGGAACGAAGUGGCCAUUCUGCAGAGCCUGCGGCACCCCGGGAUCGUGAACCUGGAGUGCAUGUUUGAGACACCUGAGAAAGUGUUUGUGGUGAUGGAGAAGCUGCAUGGGGACAUGUUGGAGAUGAUCCUGUCCAGUGAGAAGGGCCGGCUGCCUGAGCGCCUCACCAAGUUCCUCAUCACCCAGAUCCUGGUGGCUUUGAGACACCUUCACUUCAAGAACAUUGUCCACUGUGACUUGAAACCAGAAAACGUGUUGCUGGCAUCAGCGGACCCAUUUCCUCAGGUGAAACUGUGUGACUUUGGCUUUGCGCGCAUCAUUGGUGAGAAGUCGUUCCGCCGCUCAGUGGUGGGCACGCCGGCCUACCUGGCGCCCGAGGUGCUGCUCAACCAGGGCUACAACCGCUCGCUCGAUAUGUGGUCGGUGGGCGUGAUCAUGUAUGUCAGCCUCAGCGGCACGUUCCCUUUCAACGAGGACGAGGACAUCAAUGACCAGAUCCAGAAUGCUGCCUUCAUGUACCCGGCCAGCCCCUGGAGCCACAUCUCAGCUGGAGCCAUUGACCUCAUCAACAACCUGCUGCAGGUGAAGAUGCGCAAACGCUACAGCGUGGACAAAUCUCUCAGCCACCCCUGGUUACAGGAGUACCAGACGUGGCUGGACCUCCGAGAGCUGGAGGGGAAGAUGGGAGAGCGAUACAUCACGCACGAGAGUGACGACGCACGCUGGGAGCAGUUUGUGGCAGAGCAUCCGCUGCCUGGGUCUGGGCUGCCCACGGACAGGGAUCUCGGUGGGGCCCGUCCACCACAGGACCACGACAUGCAGGGGCUGGCGGAGCGCAUCAGUGUUCUCUGAGGUUCUGUGCCCUCGUCCAGCUGCUGCCCUCCACGGCCGUUCUUCACAGGAUCCCAGCAGUGAACUGUUCUAGGGAAAGUGGCUUCCUGCCCAAACUGGAUGGGACACGUGGGGAGUGGGGUGGGGGGAGCUAUUUCCAAGGCCCCUCCCUGUUUCCCCAGCAAUUAAAACGGACUC
rnacentral:sRNA from 1 species